rnacentral:rRNA from 1 species
GACGAACGCUGGCGGCGUGCUUAACACAUGCAAGUCGAACGGAAAGGCCCUGCUUUUGUGGGGUGCUCGAGUGGCGAACGGGUGAGUAACACGUGAGUAACCUGCCCUUGACUUUGGGAUAACUUCAGGAAACUGGGGCUAAUACCGGAUAGGAGCUCCUGCUGCAUGGUGGGGGUUGGAAAGUUUCGGCGGUUGGGGAUGGACUCGCGCCUUAUCAGCUUGUUGGUGGGGUAGUGGCUUACCAAGGCUUUGAGGGGUAGCCGGCCUGAGAGGGUGACCGGCCAAGUUGGGACUGAGAUGCGGCCCAGACUCCUACGGGAGGCAGCGGUGGGGAAUAUUGCACAAUGGGCGGAAGCCUGAUGCAGCAACGCCGCGUGCGGGAUGACGGCCUUCGGGUUGUAAACCGCUUUCGCCUGUGACGAAGCGUGAGUGACGGUAAUGGGUAAAGAAGCACCGGCUAACUACGUG